rnacentral:rRNA from 1 species
CACGUAGGGCGCAAGCGUUGUCCGGAAUUAUUGGGCGUAAAGAGCUCGUAGGCGGUUUGUCGCGUCGAAUGUGAAAACCCGGGGCUCAACCCCGGGCCUGCAUUCGAUACGGGCAGACUAGAGUUCGGUAGGGGAGUCUGGAAUUCCUGGUGUAGCGGUGAAAUGCGCAGAUAUCAGGAGGAACACCGGUGGCGUAGACGGCUUUCUGGACCGUAACUGACGCUGAGACACGAAAGCGUGGGUAGCAAACAGG